UACGUAGGCAGCGAGCGUUGUUCGGAGUUACUGGGCGUAAAGGGUGUGUAGGCGGUUGUUUAAGUUUGGUGUGAAAUCUCCCGGCUCAACUGGGAGGGUGCGCCGAAUACUGAAUGACUAGAGUGCGGGAGAGGAAAGUGGAAUUCCUGGUGUAGCGGUGAAAUUCGUAGAUAUCAAGCGGAACACCGGUGGCGAAGGCGGCCUUCUGGACAGUGACUGACGCUGAGACGCGAAAGCGUGGGGAGCAAACAGGG
rnacentral:rRNA from 1 species